CCUACGGGAGGCAGCAGUGAGGAAUUUUCCGCAAUGGGCGAAAGCCUGACGGAGCAAUGCCGCGUGGAGGAGGAAGGCCUGUGGGUCGUAAACUCCUUUUCUCAGAGAAGAAGUUCUGACGGUAUCUGAGGAAUAAGCAUCGGCUAACUCUGUGCCAGCAGCCGCGGUAAUACAGGGGAUGCAAGCGUUAUCCGGAAUUAUUGGGCGUAAAGCGUCCUGAGGUGGCUUACCCAGUCGACUGUGAAAGCUCAAGGCUUAACCUUGAAACGGCAGUCGAAACUUGUAAGCUUGAGUACGGUAGGGGCAGAGGGAAUUCCCGGAGGAGAGGUGAAAUUCGUAGAUAUCGGGAGGAAGGCCAAAGGCGAAAGCACUCUGCUGGGCCGAUUACUGACACUGACAGACGAAAGCUAGGGGAGCGAAAGGGAUUAGAUACCCUGUAGUCCUAGCCGUAAACGAUGGAUACUAAGUGUUGCGCGACUCAAAACGUGCAGUGCUGCAGCUAACGCGGUAAGUAUCCCGCCUGGGGAGUAUGCCCGCAAGGGUGAAACUCAAAGGAAUUGACGGCGNGAGACGNGCGACGACGACGACGAGGGAGAGG
rnacentral:rRNA from 1 species